rnacentral:rRNA from 1 species
UACGAAGGGUGCUAGCGUUGUUCGGAAUCACUGGGCGUAAAGCGCGCGUAGGCGGCUUUUCAAGUCAGGGGUGAAAUCCCAGAGCUUAACUCUGGAAUUGCCCUUGAAACUGAGAAGCUGGAGUGUUGGAGGGGAUAGCGGAAUUGCUAAUGUAGAGGUGAAAUUCGUAGAUAUUAGCAGGAACACCGGUGGCGAAGGCGGCUAUCUGGACAACAACUGACGCUGAGGCGCGAAAGCGUGGGGAUCAAACAGG